UGGGCACCUGGUGGAAACCCAAACAGAUUGCUGCCGGCAAUUAAGCACAAAUCAGGGUUUAGCGAUAAGAGGUAUGUUUCUAUAUCUUUUAUUUAAUAUUAAUGCAUAUUAUAUGGUUUAAUUUCUGAUAAGGUGAUCUUGGAGUUAGGUUUUAAUUUUAUGAUUUCAUAAUAAUUACUUUGAAAUCCGUGCUUCCGCCAUUGCAUUAAAACCUUUCA
rnacentral:lncRNA from 1 species